CUUUUCCUACGGGGGGCAGCAGUGGGGAAUAUUGCACAAUGGGGGGAACCCUGAUGCAGCGACGCCGCGUGGGUGAAGGAGCACCUCGGUGCGUAAAGCCCUAUCGGCAGGGAAGAAAAGCGAACAGGUUCGCCUGGACGGUACCUGACUAAGAAGCCCCGGCUAACUACGUGCCAGCAGCCGCGGUAAUACGUAGGGGGCAAGCGUUGUCCGGAUUUACUGGGUGUAAAGGGCGUGUAGCCGGGCUGACAAGUCAGAUGUGAAAUCCGGGGGCUCAACCCCCGAACUGCAUUUGAAACUGCUGG
rnacentral:rRNA from 1 species